AGCAGCCGCGGUAAUUCCAGCUCCAAUAGCGUAUAUUAAAGUUGUUGCAGUUAAAAAGCUCGUAGUUGAAUUUCGGGACCAAUUUGUUGGUCGUGCCUCGGUACGUACUGGUAUUAUUGGUUUCUCCCUUCUGAAGAACCUCGAUGCCAUUAAUUUGGUGUCGUGGGGAAUCAGGACUGUUACUUUGAAAAAAUUAGAGUGUUUAAAGCAAGCAUACGCUUGAAUACAUUAGCAUGGAAUAAUGAAAUAGGACGUUUGAUUCUAUUUUGUUGGUUUCUAGGAUCGACGUAAUGAUUAAUAGGGAUAGUUGGGGGCAUUAGUAUUCAAUUGUCAGAGGUGAAAUUCUUGGAUUUAUUGAAGACUAACUACUGCGAAAGCAUUUGCCAAGGAUGUUUUCAUUAAUCAAGAACGAAAGUUAGGGGAUCGAAGACGAUCAGAUACCGUCGUAGUCUUAACCAUAAACUAUGCCGACUAGGGAUCGGAUGAU
rnacentral:misc_RNA from 1 species